rnacentral:rRNA from 1 species
GACGAACGCUGGCGGCGUGCCUAAUACAUGCAAGUUGAGCGCUGAAGGUUGGUACUUGUACCAACUGGAUGAGCAGCGAACGGGUGAGUAACGCGUGGGGAAUCUGCCUUUGAGCGGGGGACAACAUUUGGAAACGAAUGCUAAUACCGCAUAAAAACUUUAAACACAAGUGUUAAGUUUGAAAGAUGCAAUUGCAUCACUCAAAGAUGAUCCCGCGUUGUAUUGGCUAGUUGGUGAGGUAAAGGCGCACCAAGGCGAUGAUACAUAGCCGACCUGAGAGGGUGAUCGGCCACCUUGGGACGGAGACACGCCCCAAACUCCUACAGGAGGCAGCAGUAGGGCAUCUUCGGCAAUCGACGAAAGUCAGACCGAGCAACGCGGCGGGAGGGUAGAAGGUUUUCGGAUCGUAAAACUCGGUUGGUAGAGAAGAACGUUAGUGAGAGUGGAAAGCUCAGCAAGUGACGGUAACUACCCAGAAAGGGACGGCUAACUACGUG